rnacentral:lncRNA from 1 species
GUUAUGGGGUCAGUAUGGGGUGUGGAACUGCUGGGGUUAUGGGGUCAGUAUGGGGUGUGAGGUCCUGAAGCUUAUGGGGUCACUACGGGGUGUGGGGUCCUGGAGGUUAUGGGGUCAGUACAGGGUGUGGAACUGCUGGGGUUAUGGGGUCAGUAUGGGGUGUGGAAUCCCGGGGGUUUUGGGGUCCCUGCGGGAUGUGGGGUCCCUGGAGUUGUGCUGUAGGACCGGGAUGUGGGGUCUGUGAUCGCGCUGUAGGACCGGGAUGUGGGGUCCGCAGUCGCGCUGUAGGACCGGGAUGUGGGGUCCGCAGUCGCGCUGUAGGACCGGAUGCGGGGUGUGCGGUUGGACGGCGGCAGUUCGUGGCGCCCCGCGGUGCCGCUCGGAGCCGCGCUGUUGGCGCUGUGCGGCGGCCGCGCAUCUCCGCCCCCGGGCGGCGCGGCGCCAACAGCAACGUUUGUCUGCCGCCCGCCGCUCGGCGCGGCUCGCGGGUCGGCGCUGCUCGUGGGGUCAGCGAUGAUUGUGGGGCUGCCGGUGUUAUGGGGUCGGCGCUGCUGUCGUGGGGUCAGCGGUGCUUUCAUGUGGGGUCAGCGCUGCUUAUGGGGUCAGCGAUGCUUUUGUGGGGUCAGCGCUGCUUUCAUGGGGUCAGCAAUGCUUAUGGGGUCAGCACUGCUUAUGGGGUCAGCGCUGCUUGUGGGGUCAGCACUGCACAUGGGGUCAGCGAUGCUUAUGGGGUCAGCACUGCUUGUGGGGUCAGCGAUGCUUUUAAGGGGGGUCAGCGAUGCUUGUGGGUUCAGCACUGCUUAUGGGGUCAGCAGUGUUUAUGGGGUCAGCGCUGCACGUGGGGUCAGCAAUGCUUGUGGGGUCAGCAAUGCUUGUGGGGUCAGCA